rfam:Myotis davidii contig65160, whole genome shotgun sequence.
GACGGUUCACAGGUGACUCACCCUGGAAUUGGUCUCCCUCCUCUCUGGCUCCGCGUGAGUCACCUGAGAACCACA